AGAGAAGUUCAUCAUCAAUUAGAAGUGAAUUGGUGUAGAAAUGAAGAAGUUAUAGUAAAAGGCAAUUUUGGGUGGGUGUGACAUAUGUGGGCAGGGCGCCCCAGGGUUGGUAAUUGUGCCAUGCAUAGUUGAGAUUGACCGUAUUGUCAUAAGAGAAGUUCAGUAUCAAUUUGAAGUGAAUCCGUGUAGAAAUGAAAAAAUUAUAGUAAAUGGAAAUUUUUGGUGGGUGUGGCCUAUGUGGGCGGGGCGCCCCAGGGUUGGGAAUGGGGCCAUGCAUGGUUGAGAUUGACCGUAUUGUCAUAAGAGAGGUCCAGUAUCAAUUUGAAGUGAAUCGGUGUAGAAAUAAAGAAGUAAAUGUAAAAUAACCUAAAAAAAUGAGUGAUAAUUUCUGACGCGGCCCCACCCCAACCGCUUUAACUUUUGACCCAGGGGUCAGAUCAAAAUUCCAAAUAGUGCAGGGUCGCACAUAUGCUCAUAGCUACCAUGUGUGUAAGUUUCAAGGUUCUAGUGCUUUUAGUGUAGGAGGAGAUAGUGGCCAGGACGGACGGACAGACAGACAGACGGACGGACGGCGGAGAUAACCACAAUAUCCCCACCUUUUUUUCAAAAA